rnacentral:rRNA from 1 species
AGUGAACGCUGGCGGUAGGCCUAACACAUGCAAGUCGAACGGCAGCACAGUAAGAGCUUGCUCUUACGGGUGGCGAGUGGCGGACGGGUGAGGAAUACAUCGGAAUCUACUUUUUCGUGGGGGAUAACGUAGGGAAACUUACGCUAAUACCGCAUACGACCUACGGGUGAAAGCAGGGGAUCUUCGGACCUUGCGCGAUUGAAUGAGCCGAUGCCGGAUUAGCUAGUUGGCGGGGUAAAGGCCCACCAAGGCGACGAUCCGUAGCUGGUCUGAGAGGAUGAUCAGCCACACUGGAACUGAGACACGGUCCAGACUCCUACGGGAGGCAGCAGUGGGGAAUAUUGGACAAUGGGCGCAAGCCUGAUCCAGCCAUACCGCGUGGGUGAAGAAGGCCUUCGGGUUGUAAAGCCCUUUUGUUGGGAAAGAAAAGCAGCAGGUUAAUACCCCGCUGUUCUGACGGUACCCAAAGAAUAAGCACCGGCCAACUUCGUG